UACGAAGGGGGCUAGCGUUGCUCGGAAUCACUGGGCGUAAAGGGUGCGUAGGCGGGUCUUUAAGUCAGGGGUGAAAUCCCGGAGCUCAACUCCAGAACUGCCUUUGAUACUGAAGAUCUUGAGUUCGGGAGAGGUGAGUGGAACUGCGAGUGUAGAGGUGAAAUUCGUAGAUAUUCGCAAGAACACCAGUGGCGAAGGCGGCUCACUGGCCCGAUACUGACGCUGAGGCACGAAAGCGUGGGGAGCAAACAGG
rnacentral:rRNA from 1 species